AAAAGAUGGUUCUGCUAUCACUCUUGGAUGGACCUGCGGUGCAUUAGCUAGUUGGUAAGGUAACGGCUUACCAAGGCAAUGAUGCAUAGCCGAGUUGAGAGACUGAUCGGCCACAUUGGGACUGAGACACGGCCCAAACUCCUACGGGAGGCAGCAGUAGGGAAUCUUCCACAAUGGACGCAAGUCUGAUGGAGCAACGCCGCGUGAGUGAAGAAGGGUUUCGGCUCGUAAAGCUCUGUUGGUAGUGAAGAAAGAUAGAGGUAGUAACUGGCCUUUAUUUGACGGUAAUUACCUAGAAAGUCACGGCUAACUACGUGCCAGCAGCCGCGGUAAUACGUAGGUGGCAAGCGUUGUCCGGAUUUAUUGGGCGUAAAGCGAGUGCAGGCGGUUCAAUAAGUCUGAUGUGAAAGCCUUCGGCUCAACCGGAGAAUUGCAUCAGAAACUGUUGAACUUGAGUGCAGAAGAGGAGAGUGGAACUCCAUGUGUAGCGGUGGAAUGCGUAGAUAUAUGGAAGAACACCAGUGGCGAAGGCGGCUCUCUGGUCUGCAACUGACGCUGAGGCUCGAAAGCAUGGGUAGCGAACAGGAUUAGAUAUCCUGGUAGUCCAUGCCGUAAACGAUGAGUGCUAAGUGUUGGGAGGUUUC
rnacentral:rRNA from 1 species